AUCAGGAUGGCUCAGUGGUUACGGUGUUGGACUUAAGAUCCAAUAGAUGUUUGGCUAUGUGGGUUCAAAUCCCACUCCUGGUA
rnacentral:tRNA from 1 species